GGCAGUACAUGCCAUGUUUACUGUUGUUAUUGUAGAUACUUCAGUGAGGUUCUCCCUUGACCUACUAUUAUGCAUGAUGUUGAGAAAUGCUGUGUACCAUAUAACAGACAAAAGAAAAUCAGUUUUGACUGAUCCACAAAUCCAGUUAUAGUAUAAACUGGAUCUGAAUACGUUUAAGUAAAAUGGCAAGGUUUUUUGUUUCUGGCUUUCAGACUAGAGGUGUACAUCGGGAAUGAGAUCCUGUGGGACCAAAUAAAAAAGUUGUGGGAGCAGGCAUAGAGGUUUGACUUUCAUGCAGGUGGGAGCAGGCAGUCAGAUAUGAAUUCCUUCAAGUGUGGGUCAGAAUUCCUUCGAGAGCAAAUUGGGUUUGGUCAGAAUCCCUUUAAGAGCGAGUAGGGUAUGGUCAGACUUCCUUCAGGAGAAUACAGGUUUGGUCAGGAUUACUCUAAGAGUAUGGGGGUUUAUCAGAAUUCCUUUUUAUGGGCGAGUAGGGUUUGGUCAGACUUCCUUUGGGAGAGUACAGGUUUGGUCAGGAUUACUCUAAGAGUAUGGGGGUUGAUCAGAAUUCCUUUAAGGGCGAGUAGGGUUUGGUCAGACUUCCUUUGGGAGAGUACAGGUUUGGUCAGGAUUACUCUGGGAGUAUGGGGGUUGAUCAGAAUUCCUUUAAGGGCUAGUAGGUUUUGGUCAGACUUCCUUUGGGAGAGUACAGGUUUGGUCAGGAUUACUCUAAGAGUAUGGGGGUUGAUCAGAAUCCCUUUAAGAGCGAAUAGGGUUUGGUCAGACUUCCUUUGGAAGAGUACAUGUUUGGUCAGGAUUAUUCUGGGAGUAUGGGGUUGAUCAGAAUUCCUUUGAGAGUGGUAGGGUUUGGUCAGUAUUCCUUUGAAAGCAGGUAGGAUUUGGUCAGAACAGAGAAAAUUGAAUAUGCC
ensembl:lncRNA